rnacentral:lncRNA from 1 species
GGAAAGGAGGCUCAGGGACCUUCCCGCUCUCCACAGCUCCCGGAGAGGGGCUGCGGCCGGGCGGCGGCGGCUCUCUUCUCCGAGAUAACCAUCAACAAUACGGGGAAAUGGAGUCAAGAUGCACCAGGGGAGGUUUAACUUUGGAUACUUGGAAAAAUUUCUUCACUGUCUGGCUGCCCAGGGCAGUGUUUGGGUCACCACCGCUGAAGGUCUUUAAAAGACACGUGGAUGCGGCACUUGGGGACACGGUUUAGUGACGGACAUGGCUGUGCUGGAUGAACGACUGGACUCGGUGGUCUCACAGGUCCUUUGCCAGGCCUGAAGACCCCGUGAUUCCAUGGAAUGCCCCGCUCCCUGGAAAUUCGUUCUGUGGGCGCCGAAAAUACGGCGAAGAGCAACGGCGACAUCCAGCGGCGGCACGGGGCGCCUCGCAGGCCGGGCCCGCCGCGGGAGCGCCGCGCCGAGCGGCCAUCCAGGGAGUUCUCUAAAGGAUCAUGAAGGCGGGACAAAACAGCCAGGAUCAAGUGACAACUCAAGGACUGGUGUCAAAGCCCCAGGUGACAAGUUCUGCUGUGACACCUGCCAGAGGCUUUCAGUGUUCACACAUUUCUACAUUCACCUGAGAAGGAGGAUCAUGACUUCUCUCAUGGCACUUCUACUGGAGCCAAUGUUGCAAAGUUGCUUGUAUUUUCUCACAAAAGCCAGCUUCCAUCAGGAACAGAAUUAACCAGAACUAUUACAUGACAAAGGACAAGCUGUGGUGUUUCAGCCUGACAGGCAUGAUUGAAAACAAUCUUUACAAGAAAUCCUAAAUGAAGAAAAUAAUAAAAUUACCACUGGGCAAGUCUCUCCUGCA